rnacentral:rRNA from 1 species
UACGUAGGGUGCAAGCGUUGUCCGGAAUUAUUGGGCGUAAAGAGCUCGUAGGCGGUUUGUCGCGUCUGCUGUGAAAACCCGAGGCUCAACCUCGGGCCUGCAUUCGAUACGGGCAGGCUAGAGUUCGGUAGGGGAGCGUGGAAUUCCUGGUGUAGCGGUGAAAUGCGCAGAUAUCAGGAGGAACACCAGCGGCGAAGGCGGCGCUCUGGGCCGGAACUGACGCUGAGGAGCGAAAGCGUGGGUAGCAAACAGG